AAUGACUUUCUUCGUGCGAUUCAUCACUUUCCUUAGUUUUCCCCACUUUCGCGCAACUCAUCUCCUCUCUUCUUUCGUCACCAUUGUCGGUGAGCAUAGCUUCUCGUCAUCACCGGCCUCUUCAUAAUAAUUGGUUUGUAUAUCCUUCUUUUUCUUUCUCUCAUUAAACCCUAACAUUUAUAUUUUUUUUUUCCCCUUUGCCUUAUAUUUUCUCUUACAGUAAUAUGACUGGUAUGAAUCUUGAAGGGGUUUGACUCUAGAUCUGUAGUGAUUGAGCUCUGAGACUUUUUAGAUGGGUCAACAAGUACAGGAAUUAAAAGAAUGAAGCUUAAGCUUGAAACGCCCAUUGCAAUUGUAGAGCAACUGUUUUCUACUUGUCAGAAGCUUAUGAAAGAAAAGUGCCAGCAUGCCAUGUAGAACUUGAUGUCAAUAAAUGAACAAGUUGAUAGUGUGAAAGAGUAUGCAAUGAAGACAGAAAGUGUUAGCGUUUCGUGGAAGAGACAAACUUUAUCACUAAUUCACUAGUGACAGCACAAGAUGCGUCGACAAUACUGCGAUGCGGACAAAAGAGCAUCAUCUUCCUGAUAAACAAUGGUUGAUACACCAUAGAAGUCGAAAUCCAUGAUGGGCCUUACAAUGUGAUCAAGAACUGGAACUACAUUGGCUUGGUUGAUGCAAUCCACAAUGGUGAAGGCAAGUGUUGGACAACUAAGGUGUGAUGUGAAUAAGAGCUCACUGAAGCAAUUAAGACAGCCACGGGUGCAAAGAAAGAUUGCUUGUGCUUCAUAGAAGUGAUAGUCCACAAGGAUGACACUAGCACAGAGCUGCUUGAAUGGCGAUCAAGAGUCUCUGCAGCCAACAGCAGCCCUCCAAACCUUCAGUAAUAAGUUUUUUACGGAAUACGACAUAGUUGUUUGAUAAAAGGAUGAGACUCAUAUCCUUUGACUCACAUUUACAUUUCAUUAUGUGAAGAUUUUGUGUGUACUAGAUUUGUUAAAUUAGUCUCCACUGCUGUGAAGUGGGAUUGAAUUAGUUGCUGGGUAAAGUGGACCAGCAUAUUUGUGCUACAUUGAGGGAAUACUAAGUUAUUUGUUUUGAGCCACUAGAUUUGUAAGUAUUGCUGAUUUUGUGUAUGUAUUUUCUAUUGGUUCUCAAUAUCUACUGAAAAAUUAUUGAUC